CAAAUUUCUGCAAUUUUCACUUUCCAACUUUUCUAAAUGUGAGUUCCUUUCGUUGCUUUCUUGUAGCACUGCAUCUUUCACUGAACUUGACAGGAACUACCUUACCCCAUUUUUCACAUCUCAAAGUGGCGAAGAUGAUGACCACGAUGAUAUUUUCAGCGACAACGGGAGAGCAAGUUAUCAUUGAUCACAGACACGAGGCUGAUAAUAGUAGGCAACUUUACUCAUCGUCCAUGACAGACCGACUUCAAUAGUGGUUUAUCAAGUUGUGACAUGUGAAGAUGGAGAUAGGACUGCUUAAUGAGACACAAACAUUGUAUCUUUCUUAGAAGUAUACUGCAAUAGGAUUGUAGAUUAGUCACAAAUUAGGGGUAGGACUGCUUCAUCAUUUGACGCCUUGUAAUAUCUGUAUAUGAAAUGAUUCACUGAGAGGGAGUUCCUGGUUUCACUUGCCAACCAAUUAUUUUGUUAUUUCCGUCGUAUUAUUAUCAAUACUCUUUUCUUUGUUCCCUAGAA